rnacentral:lncRNA from 1 species
AUUUUGUCUAUGUUAUUAUAUAGUUUACGUUAAAUUUAUUUCCCUACAAUAAUAAAAUAGGGGACUUCAUUUUCACAGUUAAUGCCACUGUUCAUAAGCACUGUUUUAUUGGCACACAAAAAAUAUCAGGUCUUCCCUUUUAUUUUAGCAGACGCCGUGCAUCUCUUAAUUUUCCUGUCAGUUUUUCUCCAAUUCUCCACGCCAUGCCCAUGCCUCUUGCUUCAAGGACCAUGCUUCUUUCUUGCCUCUGAAACCUUGACAAAUUACACACAAAUUCUCACUCCUCUCUGACUUUCUCUUUUCAUUUCCUCUCUAUAGUUUCCUCUCUGUAGUUGACCAAUGCCAUUGAUCUGAUCAUUUCUUCUCUCUUAUUUUCCUUUUUUUUAUUUUCUUUAUCUACAAUUGACAAAAACCCUCUAUUAUUUGACGCUAGUUUCUUGGAAUCGGAUCAUAUCCAGUAGUUUAAUCGAGGGUAUGUUGGUUCGAUUUUACUAUGUGGUUCCAAUUUUGCAAGAUCUUCUCUCUUUUUUUCAUUGCUUUCUUCAAAGUUUUAACCCUCUAUUUUUUUUUCUUUUGCAAGAGUUUGAAAUUAUCAUCGUAGAUCAAUCGAAAGAAUUGUUGAGAAAAAUUCCUUGGGUAAGUAAAUGUAGAUCUUUGCUGUAAAUCGAAGGUAUGUUUGUUCGAUUUCACUGUGUGGUUUUAGGUUCGAAAGAUUUUUUUUUUUUUGCUGCACAGUUCGCUUUUUCUUCCCUGAAAUUCGAAGCUAAAUUUGUUUUUUGUUUGUCUAAGCCUCCGUUUGACCCCCAUUAUUUCUCAUUAAAUUAAAUUAAAUUUUUCUCUUUCCUAUUUUUAACCACACAAUCUUUAAUAAAAUAAUAUUACACGUAAACCAAAAACUUUUCUUUUCUUUUCAACCACUCAUUUUUCAAAAAAAUACUAUUCAAAACAUUAUAAUUUCUAAGUAAUGGGUCUCAAACAAGGGCUAAUAUGGAUUUGGCUUAGUGCAUGUGUGAUUUGGUUGCCUUCCUUUGUCUGCCAUGUCUCACAUAUCACCUUCGACCGCUUCAAUGGCAUCCUUAUACAUAGUGAUGGCAAUGGGCUCGGCCCUUUAACCCACGAGCUCGAUUCGGUCUUGUGGCUCGUGAAAGUCCAUCCGAGCCAAGCCACUCGCGAGCUCGUGAUUUUUUUAAUUUUUUUUUUUGAAAAAUUUGCACAUUUUGGACAUUUUUUUUAAAAAAAAAAUUCUUGACGAGCCAAACAGACUCUGCUCGUGGGAUUGAUCCCCUGCUCGGCUCGGGCUCGGGCUCGUCGAGCCACCCAUGAGCCGCUCAGCCCAUUUGACAUCCCUACUUAUACAUUUCAUUGAGAUUUGGACAGACGUCCCCCGAACACCCCAUAGCAUUAGGUUUCACCAUUUCAUAUGUUUUCCCUUUUCUUUUGCUAUAUUUAGAGGUUGGGGUUUUGGUUAAAUCUAGAAUGCAUUGUAUUUCUGUGGAAUUCAGAGCUAUAGUUAUUGAUUGAUAUACUUUAAAACAGACUUUGUUUUUCAUUUGUCAAAUGUGGAUUUGGCUUUAUGCAUGUGCAGUUCGGUUGCAUUCAUUUGUCUGCCAUGUCUCAUAUACCACCUUCGAGCGUUUCAAUGACAUCCUUAUACUUUUGGUCGAGCUCGGGACAUACAUCCCCCGAACACCCCCUACCAUUAGGCUUCACUAUUUCUUUAUGUUUUCCUCUUUCUUCUGCUAUUCAGAGGUUUUGGUUUGUAUUUUACUCGAAUUCAGAGUUACAGUUGUUAUUGAUUGAUUUCGUUAUAAUAAAGGAAAAGGGGGAAAAUAUUGAUUCAUUGAUAGCAUGUGAAAAUAUGUUGAGGUCUCAGUAUGUUUAUGACCCUGCAUAAGUAGUAUAGUAACUCUAAAGGGAAACUCAUAAAAUGAAAAUAACGAUUUUUUUUCUUUUUUCUUACAAUUUCCUGGUAUUAAAUUUAGUAGCUACAUAAAUUUGUUUACCUCAUAUUUAACGUAACAACCUUGAUGGUCUUGUAGUGAAAUUGAUAAAUUGUUCCAUAUACGCUGCCUCAUUUCUCUUUUUGUUUCUUCAAUUUUUACAGAUAAUGGUUCUUGUUUCUUGCAGUACAUGUGUGUGUGUGUAUGUGUGACAUUAGUGGAAUUUUUUUUUGCAUUCUAAACUCAGGUAAAAAACUAUUGAUAGUUUGAGAAAAUGAGAAGAUAAGGAGCAUUGCCGGGUUUAGAAUUGAUAUAAUACUAAAUAAUUACAUAGGUCUCAUUUCAACCACACGAACUUGACAUAAUCAUCCAAGACAAAUUUUCCAUGAAUUCAAUUUAUAUAAAUUCACGUGAUCUACAAAGUGAGACCCAUAUCCCUAUGUUUCUAUCAAUGUCUAAUCUACUCAAUUAUUUAGUACACAUAAUACUUAGAAAAGUAAAACAUUGCAUAAUUAGAACAUAAAUAUUUUUCUUAAAUUACAACUUCUAACAAAGUCAAAGCAGUGAGCAAAACAGCAUCAAUGGGAGGUAGCGUGGAAAUAUGGAAAAUGAUUGACACGAGACAAAGAAAUCCUUGCAAGAAUGCAAUAGCAUAGUGGUUAAGAGGAUAAACAGAGUAAAAUUGGUAUGAAAACAUAUGGCAUCAGACCUUAGGUCAUAUUUUAAUUUCUACUUUUUGGAAAAUUGGUCAUAGAUUUUUUAAAAAUAAUUAACCUACAAAUGAAUUGACUUUCUAUUGUAAAUUUGUUAACUAAUUUUUUGGAGUUCUUUGUACAGUGAUUCUUUUAAAUACUUAUAUGUUGUCUCUGUAGUAUAAAUAAUAUGUCGAGCAACAGUGAGCCACCAUAUCGUUUCGUUCAACUUAUCACACUUUCUUUGGCCCAUAAUGUUCAUUUGGUAAGUGUCAAAAUGAUCUCUUUGUCAAUAUUUAUUGAUAAUGAAUAGAACUAUAUAUGAAGUAAAUAAUAUUUUCAUGGGAUUUAUGUCCUUCUUUCUAUAGUUGCUUCCUAGAUGUUUUGUGCGUUGCUUGGGACGUGAGCUCAGCUAUACAGUACUCUAAUUGGUUAUGAUGGAAUAAUUUAUACUACACAAUUGGAAAGAGUCGAUGGUAAUAUAUAUCUUGGUAUUGGAUGGCAAGAAUUCUUCGACCACAUAACUUACGAGAUGGUUUUCUUAUCGCCUUUGAAGACAAAGAAAAUUCUACUUUCGAUGUUUUGAUAUUUGACCAUUCAGGCAUAGAAAUAACGUAUGAGUCUGAUACAUUUGACAUAGAGACUUCAUGUAUUGGUAAUCAUGUCUUCUAAGUAACAUUGGAAGCUAAUCGCAAUGGUCAUAGAACAAUUGUGAGCUUCUCUUUAACUUAAAUGUUUUCCAAACUAUAUCCAACAUUGUCAUAUCUAUCGUUAUCGCUUAAUUCUAAGGUUCUACCAUUCAUAGAUUUGUUAAUUUACUUUAUAAUAUGUACCUGGGACAUUCACUAGUGUAUCGACCAUUGUUUGUCCAGAAUGUUCAAAUCCAUGAUUGUUCACAUCAUAAUUGGUUUGUGCGUGCAAAUCUGAGAACAAAUGGAUAUGUGCAAUGAUUUUCUGUAGGUUUGGCAGACUAUGUUAACGAGAAACGACUUCGAAUGGUUGACACAUGUGCCUUUGAACUUAUAAACGAUGAAGUCCCCAUGUUUAUGGUGUACAAAGUGUGCCGCGAUGAUGGAAGUUGGACCGUUACAUGAAUUGUACACUUUCACUUGUAGCUUCCCUGUUUACUUAUUAUCGAAAAUUUAUUUUCCUCUUUAUGUAUGAACAUUUUAUAACUAAAUACAUUGGAAUUUGAAUCUCUAAUUUGCCUAUUUUAUUUUUACUUCAAGUUUGUACUAAAUUCGUG